rnacentral:misc_RNA from 1 species
UUUCUACUUUUAUACCACUACUAGUUUUAUUUGCUUUGAUUGCAUGGUGGGUCUAUGACACAUUAGUGAAGAACUUUGUUUUUGUGGUUUUUUCAUCAAGUAGAUUCAGAAUUGUAAAAUCCCAUGGCACUCUGUCCUGCUUGCCCUUUAGUGAGGAGAGAAUUUUUUUGUACCCAGUCAAAUCCUUCCAAAAGGUUAAAGUGGUGAGUGUUUUGG